CUUAGCUUGCUAAGGCCGAUGGCGACCGGCGCACGGGUGAGUAACACGUAUCCCACCUGCCGUCUACUCUUGGACAGCCUUCUGAAAGGAAGAUUAAUACAAGAUGGCAUCAUGAGUCCGCAUGUUCACAUGAUUAAAGGUAUUCCGGUAGACGAUGGGGAUGCGUUCCAUUAGAUAGUAGGCGGGGUAACGGCCCACCUAGUCUUCGAUGGAUAGGGGUUCUGAGAGGAAGGUCCCCCACAUUGGAACUGAGACACGGUCCAAACUCCUACGGGAGGCAGCAGUGAGGAAUAUUGGUCAAUGGGCGCAGGCCUGAACCAGCCAAGUAGCGUGAAGGAUGACUGCCCUAUGGGUUGUAAACUUCUUUUAUAAAGGAAUAAAGUCGGGUAUGGAUACCCGUUUGCAUGUACUUUAUGAAUAAGGAUCGGCUAACUCCGUGCCAGCAGCCGCGGUAAUACGGAGGAUCCGAGCGUUAUCCGGAUUUAUUGGGUUUAAAGGGAGCGUAGAUGGAUGUUUAAGUCAGUUGUGAAAGUUUGCGGCUCAACCGUAAAAUUGCAGUUGAUACUGGAUAUCUUGAGUGCAGUUGAGGCAGGCGGAAUUCGUGGUGUAGCGGUGAAAUGCUUAGAUAUCACGAAGAACUCCGAUUG
rnacentral:rRNA from 1 species